GUGGGGGAAGGAGAAAAAGGAGCGGUUGACCCGAGGGCCGAGUUGAUCGGAGCGCCGGCCGGGGACAGAAGGAGCGCGCUUGGUGACAAGUCAGGUGGAGAAGCUCAAGUCUUGAACUCUGCUUGGUUUCCCAGGUACAGGCUAGACCCCACCCACGAUGAUCACUGAAUCACCAGGUGCUGAGGCCUCUUUCUGUUGUCAAGAGCCAGAGACAACUGAAAGAGCCAGAGACAAUUGAAAAUCUUGGAUGUGAGUCAUGGAAAUGAACCUGAACUGAGAGUUGCUUUCCAAAGACUAUCUCACCACUGGGAUUCAGGCUGAACAAAGGAGUUAGAUUCAAAACAGGGAUUCUCUGUAUAGCCCUGCUGUCCUGGAACUCAUGCUGCAGAUGAGGCUGACCCUUGAAGUGAGAGAGCUGCUUGCCCCUGCCUUCUUACUGCUGAGAUUAAAGGUCUGUGUAUCAUUUUUGAGAUAAACUCAGUGUAAACUAUAAGGCAAAGACAUGUUCGAAUUUAAUCUACAUAUAACACCCAGCAUGGAGAGAAUCAGAAACCAAGAGCAUGGUGUACUCAGUCUAACCCACAGGUUAUGGGCCAGAGCUUCAUAAUGAAAUAGUGAAAUGAGAAUGUAUGUUUUUUAUCAAGGAGUUCAUUGUCCUUUCUGGUACACUACACCACCCAGUGCCUAAUCUGUCUAAAGAGGCAGGGCUGACACAGCGACCUCCUCAUGUGGAAUCACCCGGAACCAUUUCUGUUCCAGCUCUUCUGUUUUUUGGCAAGUGCAUGUGAGUUUCUGGAUGACUUAUACUGAUUUUAGAUCAAGCAUGAGACUCAGAAUAGUUACUGGGUGACAUAAAAUGACAGAAACACCUUUGUACUGAGCGGAACUUCUGUGUUGGUGAAAUGAUAAAUAUAAAUGCAAACGAAAA
rnacentral:lncRNA from 1 species